rnacentral:misc_RNA from 1 species
AUGACAUUUGCACUACGUGGCUUACUGUUCUGUCCUGUGCAAAGGCUGUCCUGGGUUUUUAUUCCAAAGACUUAUUACCUAUCUUUUUGUGGGAUGAAUUCAGCAGUAUUUUGCAGAAUGGCGGAGGCACACCCAUUGCAAAUCGGUCAAGCUCUGAAGGACAGCCUUUUACAAGCAGUAUCUGAGGACAGAGUAGUGAGGGGAGUGAUGUCAUGUGCCAAACUCCUGGAAGUGUAAGACCUCGUGUGAUCAUCCUAACACCAUUGCAUGUGAUUUACCCUGACACAGUGUAUAUAGGGUUAUCUUUUUUACUGGAUACGGUACAAGACGUAUCUUUACUACCGCAUGAUACACGCACGGAUUUUCUUUUUUUUGGGGGGGGGGGGGCAAAGAAAAAUUGUGUUUGUCGUGGGGGAGUGCAUAUUUUCAAUUAUUUUACUAUGUGAAUUUUUUAAAUAAAUUUUGAUUUUCCAGAGGGAAGCCCCAAAUCCCUCUAGAUCCGCAUGUGAUAGUGCAAAGGGGAAUUAAACCAUAUAAGGACACAUCUACAUGUACUGCUGUACCCAUAUAGACAUACGUUGACGCAUUUUUACCAAAAACAUGUUCGAUGAAACAACACGCUUCAAUACUUAACAUAUGUUUUUUAUUUUGUAUAAAGAUAUAAGUACACAUAGGUAAGAAGCCUUAUAAGACACGUUCUUAAAAUCGAUCGGAAAUGCUGUUCUGAUAGUCACCCAAUUAAGCGUAUAGUGUUGCACAUAAGGCUUUGUUAAGAAAAACAGAUGUACUGUCUCAUUGUCGUUCCUUUAUAUGUGUAUUGUUGGUUCUUCCAGAUGUUGAUACUUAGAUGUAAAUGUUCUUGGUUCUUCCAGAAGCCCAGAGUGUGUUAUGGUUUGCAUUCUACCCGCUUCAGUUCCUAGCCAUGACGUCACGUUCCACAUUCAGCAGACGUUAGUGGAAGCUUUCUGUGUGGAGCACGCCAUUCCAAUAUUGAAGAUUGGCGAUCUAGAGAAAUUGGCUGUGAUAUUUGCGGGAAGGAAAGAUGUUGCAAACAGCCUGGAAAACAAUCAGGAUGAGGGGGAGGGGGACCUCACCUGUCUACUUGUACAGGUCCCGGAAGUCAAGAGUCCUGCAGACCAGUUUGUCAUGGAGUUUUGCGAGAUGAUAUUUUUACCUCAUCCCAGAAUAGAUUUACCUGCAUGAUAGCAACUACUGAAAACUGAUUUCUCAUCAUUACAGAAUCAGGACGUUUUCACACUUCGUUUCGGCUGCACCGUAUUGAAUGGUGUCCCACUGUCCAGGGGGAAUCCCCGGCCGUCGGGCCAGACCAGAACAGAAAGGGACCACGUAACCUAGCCCAGGGAGACACUGUGGAAUCUCCGCACGAAUCAUUGGUUGGAAAAUGGUCAACAAUUGUGCAGUUUUCUACUUAAUUGAUGGAUUUAAUAAAUUUGUAUAUUUUGAAAAGAAAUAAAAAAUGAAAAACAGUUCGCAAUCAC